rnacentral:rRNA from 1 species
CUACGCACUCCUACGGGAGGCAGCAGUGGGGAAUAUUGCACAAUGGGCGCAAGCCUGAUGCAGCCAUGCCGCGUGUAUGAAGAAGGCCUUCGGGUUGUAAAGUACUUUCAGCAGUGAGGAAGGUGGAUAUGUUAAUAGCAUAUUCAUUUGACGUUAGCUGCAGAAGAAGCACCGGCUAACUCCGUGCCAGCAGCCGCGGUAAUACGGAGGGUGCGAGCGUUAAUCGGAAUUACUGGGCGUAAAGCGCAUGCAGGUGGUUUGUUAAGUCAGAUGUGAAAGCCCGGGGCUCAACCUCGGAAUUGCAUUUGAAACUGGCAAACUAGAGUACUGUAGAGGGGGUAGAAUUUCAGGUGUAGCGGUGAAAUGCGUAGAGAUCUGAAGGAAUACCGGUGGCGAAGGCGGCCCCCUGGACAGAUACUGACACUCAGAUGCGAAAGCGUGGGGAGCAAACAGGAUUAGAUACCCUGAUAG